GGUUACGCAGAGCGCGCUGGGGCAGGGCUGACCUUCCCCUUUCUCUACUUCACUGGCCUCCUCCAGACGUGGUGGUUGCGCCCUUUCGGCCUCGCUUUCCGUUUUUUGGCUUCAUCCCCUAGAUCUGCAAACAGUUCCUCGUGUUUCUUCCGUUAGCCGGGAAACGCGAACUGCAGCGUUUGGGACCCGGGUUUGCGCGUGUGGAAAGCAAAAGGGGUUACUCUGCUGGAGUUCGACAUUGCAAAUAAAGGUCUUUAUCCCCGGCGGUUCUACAAAAUUAGUUCUGCAGGGAUUCUGGUUGAAAGAAGCGUUAAAGUGGGCCUUGUAGGAGUCAGCAAUAAUCCAAUUUUACAUGGGUGCAGGUGGCUGCCUGUGUCUAGCGCUUUCACACAUCUCAUAUCUUCAUCCACGCCGUGGGUAUUUUUUUUCCACGGUGUGUUUCUGUUGCUGCCUCCAGUAUAUUGCUUAAUCAUCCUACCUGGGUUGAGUUUGUGCAUCGAUUGUGAACACAACAGGCAGCAGGCUAUAAUGGUGGUCCUGGCUGGAGUAGUUUUCACAGACUUCAGUAAUCUGUGGAGAUGAACGGGCAGUUCUCUGUAGUUUUCACAGAUCACUGCCAGUUCGUUUUGAGGCCUUCAGGAGUGAAGACCUGGCUCAUCAUCACUCUUUGUUGUUUUGUUAAAUUUAUUUACACCCUACUUUAUUCCAGAGGAAAGGAUUUAACGUAGUUUACAUAAAUGUGUACAUCAGGGUAAAUUAAAAAUAAGUACAGAGAAAAAUAGGACAAAAGAAAACCGUGAGUGUGAAAGAUAAGAUUAAGCCAGCAGUUUUGUAUGCAAAAUGCAUGGUGUAAGGUCCUAUUGGUUUGCUGGAGGUAGGCCACACAUAUGACUCUCAGUUUUCUAGCAACCAAGAAAAAGAUCAGUUGCAAUCGGAGUAGGUGUUUUGGCUAAGCUGGAACUAGGACUUGAAUAUAGCAGCUUGUAGAGUUAUACCACUUGCCCAAAUCUCUUCCAUGAGCCUCUUUAAGUGUAACAGAAUGCCUGGGAGCACGUAAAUGCUCCUACUUAGAUGCCUACUUAGCCUCUAAUUUUCAUGGGGCCCAUGAAUCCCAUGAAAAAGAACUUUGAACCCUGUCCACAAUUAGAGUUCAGGUAUACGCAGACAUGUUUAAAGACAAGGGACACCCAAAGGAAAGAUUGCACAGAGAGAAAGUGAGCAUCCGAGAGAAAAUCACCACAAGUGAGGCAGAGGGAGGCCGGUCUCAGCAGAGUUUUGGAGGUCGUGAGAAGAAGAGGUAGGAGAUAGGAGAGUGGUUCCGAGUACUUGCCUGCUGAUGUUACCUUCUCCACCCCCACCAGGUUUUCCAGUGCCUGGAGUCUUGGGCAGGAAUGGGCCACUGUAAGAAAGAGCUUUAUCACUAGGGCCUCAGCCAACUUUUCUGUGGGAUAUCCCUCCAAAAUAAUUAAGAGUUCAGAAUGCUUCAGAUUUUGAAGUGAAACUGGUACAUAUAUUAAGUGUUACUUAAUAACCCGAUAGUUUCUAGGGCAGCUCACCAUAAUCCCAAGUAUUAGCCACCACCCUCACCCCCUUCAGAGUAAAAUGUGUUUCCUGAAGGAAGUUGGGAAAAUGAAGAAAAAAAAUACAAAAAUCACCUAUAAUCUUACCAGUCAUAGAUGGCAGUUUUCCUGUCUUAUUUCUGAAUAAUGGUUGUUAAACAUUUGCCAGCACACCAUAAGGCUUAGGGAGGCAUCUGGGUCAUGCAUGUUAAUAUCCUUGGGUAAUUCCAGAAAUCUCUAUGAAGGGAAACUCCUGUUAUUUAUCUAGACUUCCUGAUUGCAAGGGGUUUGGGCAUCAUGAUUUAGGGGUCUUAAUAAAAUUAUUAUUUUAUUUUUACUAAUAGAUAAUGUCUGUGCCUAUCAGAUAAAGGCAAACCAGUGCUCAGAGGAACCCAACCAUCUCUGAAUUGAGACCAGAGAGCUGUCUCUAUGGAUAGUCCUUAGAGAAGGCAUUUCGGAACACAGUAAACAGCAGCCUGGUGACUCCGAUUACAGGGCCAGUUGCCUUUGUUACAAUAAAAGCAAGUCAUCUACACAGAUUUUUCCUACCAGGAAGAGCAUGUGCUGACCAACAGACAUGAAUUUCAGCCUGGUAGUUACAACAUUCACAGGAGUUUCACUCGUUGCCCAGGCUGGAGUGCAACGGCGCGAUCUCAGCUCACUGCAACCUCCGCCUCCCCAGUUCAAGCGAUUCUCCUGCCUCAGCCUCCUGAGUCACUGGAAUUACGGGCGCCUGACACCACGCCCAGCUAAUUUUUUGUAUUUUUAGUAGACAUGGGGUUUCACUAUGUUGGCCAGGCUGGUCUCGAACUCCUGACCUCAUGAUCCUCCUGCCUCAGCCUCCCAAAGCACUGGGAUUACAGGUGUGAGCCACUGUGCCUGGUCCAUUAAAAACAUUUGUAAAGCUAUGGUGUUGAUAAAGUAUUAUGAAAGACUGCAAAAAAAGAUGGCUAAUUUUUAGUUAUUAUUGCACAUGUUUAGAGGAGCUAAUGACAUUUUCUAUGAUUAAUAAAAGACAUUAUUUAUGUUUUUAUUUAUGUAUUCCACAACAUUUAUUUUAUUUUCUCCAUUUCAGGAAAACCACUAUGUUGUUACAAUAAAGAUUUUCAUGUAAUUUGUGUUCAAUUGAUAGUAAUAAUGUAACAAGUUAAAAAUGAAGGUAAUUGUGUUUAAAAUUUGAGCAUAUUUUCAUCAAAAUGUAAGUUAAAGUGAUUGUAAAUUUUAAGAUCAUAAUUACUUUGUAUAUCUUCAAGAAAAUUAUUGUUUUAAAAUAUUUAUGCCUAUUAAAAUUAGAAGGCAAAAUAAAAAUAUAUGAAUACCAACAUUUUAAAUAAAAAUCAUUUAAAUAA
rnacentral:lncRNA from 10 species